GGGACAUCUAUGUGCUGUUGUAUUCUCCUUAUUAAUGAUAAUUUCAUUUUAAGUUUUGUUGCAUAGAUGGAUAUAUUGAGAAUUUCUCAUCUGUUUACUAACUUGUACUUGUUUGUUUCUAGAAGAAUAAUGUCCCUUUCGAGAGAUGUCACCCAUUUUAUGGCUAUUGUAUAAAGGGAGGCCUUGAAUUGGUGCCCACCAAGUCAGUUU
rnacentral:misc_RNA from 1 species